UGGAGGUUCAUCCGUUGCCAAGCUAGAAAUCUCUUGGGGAGAUAGUGUUGUCCAAGUAAAUGGGAAGAUAAUUGAUAAAAAAUUCAGUGUGAUCUUUAAUGCUGGAGAUGAGGUGGUGUUCAGUUCAUGUAGUGAACAUGCUUAUGUAUCCUUCUAUCCAUAAUGUUAUCUAUAAUGUUUGGUACAAAUUACGAGAUUUCCUAGCAACUCAAGACUGAGGCAUCACUAGUCAGCUCUGCCUUCUUCACUGGGCUUAGCAGAAGCACAUGGUCUGCAGUUUGAAGCGAGGUCCAGGACCCAGCUGUGGCCGGAGCAUCAAUAUAAGCCUCUCUUUCAAAUCUUAGAAAAGAUUUAUCGCUUCUUCCUCCUACCCAGAGAUCCCUCCAUUGUAGAGACACUACUUCCAAAACACUUAAGGUCUUAUUUUCGUGGUUGAAAGCAAUAACAGAGACCGUGUUGUUGAGGGAAGGGAUGAACUGCAGACGAAGUUUAGUGAGGCCUUUGUGAAGUUUGUCUAACCGAUAGAAGUGGCAUUUGCUUGCUUCAGUUAGUGUUUUUAUCACUUUGCUUGGUGCUGACUUCAUGAGAAUGGAAUCUUUCGACAAAGUUGAAGAGUUUGCGGAGACUCUGUUAGUGAACUAGAUAGAAUUUGGCAAAAGGGCAUCUGCAAGACUUACCGCAAGCAAAAUUUUCAAACGUAGGUAGAAGAUAACGGAGAAGAACAUGAAGAGCAUGGAACCCAAGAAGAAGAGGCUGUUGAUGUCUAUGUUGAUUCUACAGAUGGCGCUAUUCUUGUCAACAGUAAUGAAGCUGAAGAAGAGUGGGAUACAACUAAUGAAGGAACCUUAUCAUCCUAAAAGCAAUUGGUUUGGCUAAAUAGGUCGCAGAUAUGAGCAGUAAGUGCGACUAUUUACAAGGCUGGUUAUGAAGCAACAAGAAGCUAUACUUGUUUGAGCAUGUAGGUAAUGAAUGUUGAGCUUGUCUCCAGUCUUGUGCCUUUAAGAUUGUAUCUACUACUGCUAUUACACUUCACAUUACAACUACAACCGCAGAAUUUCUAUUUUCUGAAAACUUAGGAAACAUUUACAUACUUGUCAUUUUUUUGAUACUAUGCACAGAAUUUGCAUGUCCUUGGAACUUAAGAAGUAUUUCUAGCUACAGAUUGGAACUUAAGAAAUUUAUAUGUAUUGCCUAAGUAGUUCUUUUCAGAGGUAUACAAAAUAAGUCUUUAGUUUA